GACGAACGCUGGCGGCGUGCUUAACACAUGCAAGUCGAACGGAAAGGCCCUGCUUUUGUGGGGUGCUCGAGUGGCGAACGGCUGAGUAACACGUGAGUAACCUGCCCUUGACUUUGGGAUAACUUCAGGAAACUGGGGCUAAUACCGGAUAGGAGCUCCUGCUGCAUGGUGGGGGUUGGAAAGUUUCGGCGGUUGGGGAUGGACUCGCGGCUUAUCAGCUUGUUGGUUGGGUAGUGGCUUACCAAGGCUUUGACGGGUAGCCGGCCUGAGAGGGUGACCGGCCACAUUGGGACUGAGAUACGGCCCAGACUCCUACGGGAGGCAGCAGUGGGGAAUAUUGCACAAUGGGCGGAAGCCUGAUGCAGCAACGCCGCGUGCGGGAUGACGGCCUUCGGGUUGUAAACCGCUUUCGCCUGUGACGAAGCGUGAGUGACGGUAAUGGGUAAAGAAGCACCGGCUAACUACGUG
rnacentral:rRNA from 1 species